AGCGAACGCUGGCGGCAGGCCUAACACAUGCAAGUCGAACGGACCCUUCGGGGUUAGUGGCGGACGGGUGAGUAACACGUGGGAACGUGCCUUUAGGUUCGGAAUAGCUCCUGGAAACGGGUGGUAAUGCCGAAUGUGCCCUUCGGGGGAAAGAUUUAUCGCCUUUAGAGCGGCCCGCGUCUGAUUAGCUAGUUGGUGAGGUAAUGGCUCACCAAGGCGACGAUCAGUAGCUGGUCUGAGAGGAUGACCAGCCACAUUGGGACUGAGACACGGCCCAAACUCCUACGGGAGGCAGCAGUGGGGAAUCUUGCGCAAUGGGCGAAAGCCUGACGCAGCCAUGCCGCGUGGAUGAUGAAGGUCUUAGGAUUGUAAAAUCCUUUCACCGGUGAAGAUAAUGACUGUAGCCGGAGAAGAAGCCCCGGCUAAUCUCGUGCCAGCAGCCGCCGUAAGAC
rnacentral:rRNA from 1 species